UACGGAGGAUGCAAGCGUUAUCCGGAAUGACUGGGCGUAAAGGGUCCGCAGGUGGCUAUGUAAGUCUGCUGUCAAAGAAUGAGGCUUAACCUCAUCAAGGCAGUGGAAACUACAUAGCUAGAGUACGGUCGGGGUAGAAGGAAUUCCUGGUGUAGCGGUGAAAUGCGUAGAGAUCAGGAAGAACACCGGUGGCGAAAGCGGUUCUCUGGGCCGUAACUGAAGCUGAGGAGCGAAAGCGUGGGGAGCGAACAAG
rnacentral:rRNA from 1 species